rnacentral:rRNA from 1 species
ACAGAGGGUGCAAGCGUUAAUCGGAAUUACUGGGCGUAAAGCGCACGUAGGCGGCUUGGUAAGUUGGGUGUGAAAUCCCCGAGCUUAAUUUGGGAAUUGCAUUCAAGACUGCCUUGCUAGAGUGCGGUAGAGGGUAGUGGAAUUCCCGGUGUAGCAGUGAAAUGCGUAGAGAUCGGGAGGAACACCAGUGGCGAAGGCGGCCACCUGGACCAGCACUGACACUGAGGCACGAAAGCGUGGGGAGCAAACAGGA